rnacentral:pre_miRNA from 1 species
UUAGCUCAUAUUUGUAUGGAGUGGGAUCGUUUGCGUACGGUUGCCGCUAGGGGCGUUGUUCCAACUGCAUACAAAAUUGGCUUA